GUUGGAAACUGAAGAUGAGGAUGUCGUCAUUCCUUUGGCUGCCCAUUUGAAUCUCGUCCAGAUGAUGUUCGAUCUUUCGAACCUUUUGCUCGAGGUCCUCUUCCCGACAAAAUUUUAUGAGGCACAGAGAGUAGCCCAAGGUCGAAUCUCCAUUGGAGGAGAUCAGAGAAUGUUGGUAUUAUUCUUCAUGCAUGGACCCUGAUGGGACAGUGAUUGUCAAUCGAUCAGCGCAGAACAACACGCACCUCGAAGAAGAUUCUCUAGAAGCAGUUUUGCUGGCUACAUGGAGAGGG
rnacentral:lncRNA from 1 species